rfam:Apaloderma vittatum contig20054, whole genome shotgun sequence.
CCUAAGGCUUUUUCAGUGUUUUUUAAAAAGCCACAAACUGUAUUGUAAAAUUACUGU